GACGAACGCUGGCGGCGUGCUUAACACAUGCAAGUCGAAGCGGUAAGGCCCUUUCGGGGGUACACGAGCGGCGAACGGGUGAGUAACACGUGGGUGACCUGCCCUCAGCUCUGGGAUAAGCCUGGGAAAACCGGGUCUAAUACCGGAUAUGACUCCAUGACGCAUGUUGUGGGGUGAAAGCCUUGUGCGGCUGAGGAUGGGUCCNCGGCCUAUCAGCUUGUUGGUGGGGUGAUGGCCUACCAAGGCGACGACGGGUAGCCGGCCUGAGAGGGCGACCGGGCCACACUGGGACUGAGACACGGCCCAGACUCCUACGGGAGGCAGCAGUGGGGAAUCUUGCGCAAUGGGCGAAAGCCUGACGCAGCGACGCCGCGUGAGGGAUGACGGCCU
rnacentral:rRNA from 1 species